CCCGCACAAGCGGUGGAGCAUGUGGUUUAAUUCGACGCAACGCGAAGAACCUUUACCUGGGUUUGACAUCCCGAUCGUACUCUAUGGAAACAUAGGGGUCAGUUCGGCUGGAUCGGUGACAGGUGGUGCAUGGUUGUCGUCAGCUCGUGUCGUGAGAUGUUGGGUUAAGUCCCGCAACGAGCGCAACCCCUAUUGUUAGUUGCCAUCAUUCAGUUGGGCACUCUAGCGAGACUGCCGGUAAUAAACCGGAGGAAGGUGGGAUGACGUCAAAUCAUCAUGCCCCUUAUGACCUGGGCUACACACGUGCUACAAUGGUUGGUACAACGAGUUGCGAGUCGGUGACGGCGAGCUAAUCUCUUAAAGCCAAUCUCAGUUCGGAUUGUAGGCUGCAACUCGCCUACAUGAAGUCGGAAUCGCUAGUAAUCGCGGAUCAGCACGCCGCGGUGAAUGCGUUCCCGGGCCUU
rnacentral:rRNA from 1 species